UGAACACUCAAGAGAGAAGCGAUCGGCCUGUAAUAGUUUUGACAUAGUUUUAUUCCUGGUUACAGCGCUGAAAGAUGGAAAAUAACUGUCUCCUGUCGCAGUCGUGCACCUGCCUCUUUCCUGCUUAAGUGGACAGUUUAAUUAAUGUAUUUGGUUACACAGAUGUGUAGCUACACACUUCUAUGAGAUGUUGAUGGGUUCUGAUGUUCAGCUGAACCAGAAACUGUCAACUCUGUAUCUCUGCAAGUUUCCUGCAUGUUGAUGAGAAAGCUGAUAAACAAAAAUGUUGUGAACAAUGAAAACUUGCAGCAAAUCCCCUUUUCUGCCACUGAAGUUGAUUUACAUCACAUUACUCCCAGUUCUGGAGGCACAACGAGUCAAUGUCUGGCCUGAAGUGACUGGAUACCUUGGGCAUGAUGUCACCCUGCCAUGCCAAUUCAUCAAAGGAAAAGAAAAUGCCAAUAUUACACAGGUUCAGUGGGAACUCCUGCAACCAGAAGGAAAACUUAUCACUAUUAUUGUUUUUAGUAGCCAGUUUGGGGUGAACAUUCCUGAAUCUUCUCUGAAGGAGAGACUGGAGAUUACUGAACAAUUGCUGCUAAUUAAAAACGUUGAAAUGAGA